rnacentral:rRNA from 1 species
CGGCAGGCUUAAUACAUGCAAGUUGAGGGGCAGCAUGAUAUACGCGAGUAUAUUGUUGGCGACCGGCGGACGGGUGAGUAAUAGGUAGGUAACCUACCUCAUACUGAGGCAUAGCUGGGAGAAAUUCCAGGUAAUUCCUCAUGAGGUUAUAUGACACAUGUGAUAUAAUCAAAGGUAUCGCAAGGUACUGGUAUGAGAUGGGCUUACUGACCAUUAGCUAGUUGGUGAGAUAAGAGCUCACCAAGGCGAAGAUGGUUAGGGGUUUUGAGAGAGAGAUCCCCCACAUUGGAACUGAGAUACGGUCCAGACUCCUACGGGAGGCAGCAGUAGGGAAUAUUGGGCAAUGGGCGGAAGCCUGACCCAGCCAUGCCGCGUGAAGGAAGACGGCCUUAUGGGUUGUAAACUUCUUUACUAUGCGACUAACUAGAUUUACGAGAUAAUUCUAUAGAAUGUAGCAUAGCAAAAAGCACCGGCUAACUCCGUG